UACGUAGGGGGCAAGCGUUGUCCGGAUUUAUUGGGCGUAAAGGGCGCGUAGGCGGUCUUGCAAGUCCUGUGUGAAAUCCCUCGGCUCAACUGAGGAAUUGCACGGGAAACUGCUUGGCUUGAGAUCGGGAGAGGGAAGCGGAAUUCCAGGUGUAGCGGUGAAAUGCGUAGAUAUCUGGAGGAACACCGGUGGCGAAGGCGGCAUCCUGGACCGGUUCUGACGCUGAUGCGCGAAAGCGUGGGUAGCAAACAGG
rnacentral:rRNA from 1 species